AAUAUGCAUCAUAUAAAUCUGAUAUGUUAUGCAUUGGAUUGUGUAUGUCUAGCCAAAUAUUAUUUUGCUUCUGGCAAAUACUGUGGGGCUUUUGGUUUGAACCCCAUACAUUCUUACAGCUUCACUGAUAUUUCUGAAAACCUAAUGAUAUAGUUGCAGAGAUACGGGCCAAGGAGAUGUUAGAAGAAGAAGGGGAGUAUGAGGAGGAAGAGGACGAGGAGGAGGAAGAUGAGGGGCUUGCUGAAGAAGAGGAGGAGGAGGAAGAAGAAGACGAAGAGUAUGAGGACGAAGAUGAAGAAGAAGAAGAGGAAGAAGAUGGUGAUGAGAUCGAGGAGGAGGAAGAAGAGGAUGAAGAAGAAGAAGAGGAGGAGGAAGAAGAAGAGAAGGCAGAUGCUGAGGAGGAGGAAGCAGCAGCAAAGGAAGCUGUGGAGGAGGAGAGUAAAGAAGAGGAGGCUGAAGAAAAGGAGGAAGAGAAGGCAGAUGCUGAGGAGGAAGAGGAGGAGGAAGCAGCAGAGGAAGCUGUGGUGGAGGAGGGAAAAGAAGAGGAGGCUGAAGAAAAGGAGGAAGAGAAGGCAGAUGCUGAGGAGGAAGAGGAGGAGGAAGCAGCAGAGGAAGCUGUGGUGGAGGAGGGAAAAGAAGAGGAGGCUGAAGAAAAGGAGGAAGAGAAGGCAGAUGCUGAGGAGGAAGAGGAGGAGGAAGCAGCAGAGGAAGCUGUGGUGGAGGAGGGAAAAGAAGAGGAGGCUGAAGAAAAGGAGGAAGAGAAGGCAGAUGCUGAGGAGGAAGAGGAGGAGGAAGCAGCAGCAGCAGAGGAAGCUGUGGAGGAGGAGGCUGAAGAAAAUGAAAAAAUGGAAGCUGAUGCUGAGGAAGAAGCAGAAGAUGAAGAGGAGGAAGCAGCAGCAGAAGAAACUGUGGAAAAAGGUAAGGAGGAAGAGGAAGCUGCUGCUGCUCCUGCUGUCGAAAGGGAAGAUACUUCAAUCCCUGCUGAACCUUAUGAGGUGAAAGAAGAACAAGUCACUUCUAAAGAAGCUGAGGCAGCUGAAGAAGAGGAGGAGGAGGAUAAAAUUGAUGUAGUUAAAGAACCACCUGAGGACGAAGAUGGAAAAGAAGAUACUCCUGCUGAUAAUAAAGAGAAAAAAGAAGAAGUAGAUGACAUUACUGAUGAUGACCAAAAAGAUGACCAAAGUGAGGAGAAAGAGGCUGAUAUCGUCAUUUCUCUUGGUAUCAUAGCUGAUGCUGGUGCUACAGUCACUGAUGUUGAAGCACAAGAAACUGGUGAGGAACCUAUACUUCUUAAAGCUGAUGGUGAUUCAGAGCUAUUAACAACCAUAGAGGAGAGUGCUGCUAAAGCUGAUGAUGCAGUAGCUGAUUUAGCUGACUCACAAGAUGGCUUAGCCGCAACUGAUAUCCCAUAUGAUGACCAUGAUGAUAAGAUAGCAAAAGAUCUAGCUGAGGAUCAUGGUGAGGUUACAGAAGACAGUCUUAAAGAUGAGACUGGUGCUGGACUGAAAGACGCUGACUCUGAAAAACAUAUAACAAGUGAGGGUGAGGGUGAGGGUGUUAUUGAAAAGCCUGAGCUAGCUGAUGAUGUUGCAGAUAAGGAGGAGCAGGAGGAAGAGGGAAAAGAGGAGGGAGAGGAACAGAUAAGGGGUGAGGAUGAGGAAGAUGAUGAUGAUAUUAUAGUAACAACACCUGUAGUUAGUUCCGAACCAGGUGGAGAUGAGACAACAGUGGUGGCUGAUGAAGAUGAUGGCUCUUCACGUGAGAAAGACAUAACAACCCUGAAAGAAGAGGAGAAAGAUGAAAAGGAUGAAAGCGUAGAGGAAGUGGAAACUGCCGAAAAAGCACCAAAACCAGAACCGAUCCCUAAAGCCGAGGAAGUGAAAGAAAAAGAAGCAGAGAAACCUGUGGCAGAGGCUGAAAAAGAAGACAAACAAAAAGAGCCCUCUACCUGUCCUUGUAUGCAUUCAGUAAUACAUAAAGAGCCUCAAAAAGCCCAAGACACUAAACCAAAGGAAGAAAAAGCUGAACCUGAUAAAGUAAAGAAAAGAGAAGCAGAGACUAAGAGAAGGGAACCCCUGCUUAAACAGAGAAAAGGUGCAGAGUUAUUGUUUUUUUUCUCAGAUCAGAAUAUUAAAUAUAGAUAGGCAUUUGUUUGUGGAAGAAUAUUGUCCUGAAGUCCUUUUUAUCGCCUCCUCACUAACAUUUGCUCAUCAGAAAAAGAGGCUCCAAUAAGAACAAGACUAGAGAAAGCAAAGAAAGGUAAAAAAGAACAAGCACAAUGUGUGCCUGCCUUUAUAUAUCAUCAUACCCAUACUUGUUUCAAAUGAUUUUUAUAAUCAUUAUAAUCGAUGAAUAUUGCAGAAUCAAAUUUGCUCUCUGCUUCACAGCUCCAAAACCAAAGGCAGCGGCUGUCAACAUACCCAAAACGAGAAGUAAAUCCACAUGAUCUGAUCAUACUUUACUUCUUUAAAGGGAUAGUUCAUCCAUA
ensembl:lncRNA